AUUUUUUUUUUUUUUUUUUUUUUUCUCAAACUCCUCAAAAAAUCCUCUAGUUUGCUUCUACAGUUUGGGUGUGUGUGCGCGUAACAACAUCGAAGAAACGAGGAAGCUCGAUAGCGUAUAUAUAUAUAUAUAUUUUUUUUUUUUUUUCGCUUUCUCUACGAUUCGUUACGAUUGGCCUGGUCUACUUAUCUGCUAUCCUGUUUGUCGCUUCUGUUGUU